rnacentral:tRNA from 1 species
CCUGGUGUCUCAGAUGGUAAAGAGUCUGCCUGCAAUGCAGAAGACCUGGGUUCAAUCCCUGGGUCAGGA